AAUAGAAAUGUUAUAAAUCAAGUGGCGUUAUUUAAAAUGUGCUCCAAACAUUUGGCCACGUUUUUUUCGUCUCCUCAACGUGCUAAGUUACAAGUUAAGAUGACUGCCACCACGAUCGGUAAGAAGCCCGAAGCAAAGGGAAAACAACCUUCCAGGAAGCUGCCUGCUGUCCCCGAGUCGUAGCUGAAGUUCAGCAAGAAGCAGGUCAGCAAACGUGCUACCCUGAUCAAGCGUAAACUAAAGCGCUCGGCUGUGAUUGCACUCCGCAAACGUGAAAACUUGGUGCAUGCUGAGAAAUAUCAAGCAAAAUAUCUCCGUGAUGGACGCCGUGAGAAUAAGUUGCGCCGUCUGGCAAAAAACGCAGCCCAUUCUACGUGCCUGCAGAAGACAAAUUGGCUUUUGUGAUCUGUAUCCGCGGUAUCAACAAAGUUGCACCAAAAGUACGUAAAGUUUUACUGUUGUUCCGUUUUCGCCACGUUAACUACGGUUUUUUCAUCAAAUUGAACCAUUAAUAUGCUACGCAUUGCCGAACCCUAUAUCACAUGGGGUUAUCCAAAUCUUAAAUCAGUUCGUGAAUUGAUCUACAAACGUGGAAUUGUCAAGCACGACCAUCAACGUGUCUCAAUCUCUGACAACUUUGUGAUCGAACGCAAAUUGCGCAAAGCGCACGAUAUUUAGUGAGUUGAUUAUUUGGCGAACGAAAUAUUCACUGUUGGAUCCCAAUUCAAGAAAGUUUCCAAAUUACUGUGGCCACUACGUUGAGGUUGGUGAUUUCGGUAACCGUGAAGAUAAUAUCAACAAACUGCUGCGCAAGAUGGUUUAAAGAAAUUUUCUGGUGUACAAGGUUUAACCCACAAAUAUGCCAAAUGGAAGGCAGCUUAUAUUCACAAUUCCUUGAAUAGUGUUGAAAUUCCAUUGCCCUCAUUAACGAUGCACCCAGGAUUGCACUUACCGUCUAUGAAAAUAUUUCAAAAAAGUUGGUUAAGCUUAAG